CCCAAAAAACGAAAAAAUGGUGAAGGGGGUACCCCAAGUGGUCAAUUUGAACUGGGGGAGGUGAGUAAUGUCCCCCACUAGAAAGGAGAGGGCAAGGCUGGUGCCAGCCGCCGCGGUAAAACCAGCUCUUCAAGUGGUCGGGAUAAUUAUUGGGCUUAAAGUGUCCGUAGCCGGUUUAGUAAGUUCCUGGUAAAAUCGGGUAGCUUAACUAUCUGCAUGCUAGGAAUACUGCUAUACUAGAGGGCGGGAGAGGUCUGAGGUACUACAGGGGUAGGGGUGAAAUCUUAUAAUCCUUGUAGGACCACCAGUGGCGAAGGCGUCAGACUGGAACGCGCCUGACGGUGAGGGACGAAAGCCAGGGGAGCGAACCGGAUUAGAUACCCGGGUAGUCCUGGCCGUAAACGAUGCAUACUAGGUGAUGGUACGGCCAUGAGCCGUAUCAGUGCCGUAGGGAAGCCGUUAAGUGUGCCGCCUGGGAAGUACGGUCGCAAGGCUAAAACUUAAAGGAAUUGGCGGGGGA
rnacentral:rRNA from 1 species